CGCGGAUCUUCCAGAGAUUAGAGUUUGAUCCUGGCUCAGGAUAAACGCUGGCGGCGUGCCUAACACAUGCAAGUCGAACGUCCUUUUCCUCGCAAGAGGGCAAGGGAGUGGCGGACGGGUGAGUACCACGUGGGUAUCUAUCAGAAGGUGAGGAAUACCGGCGAGAAAUCGCCGACAAGACCGCAUAGGAUGGGCAACCAUCAAAGUUGUGGGCAACCAUGACGCCUUCUGCUGAGCCUGCGCCCGAUUAGCUGGUUGGUGAGGUAAUGGCUCACCAAGGCCACCAUCGGUAGCUGGUCUGAGAGGAUGAUCAGCCACACUGGGAUUGAGAACGGCCCAGACUCCUACGGGGGGCAGCAGUGAGGAAUUUUCCGCAAUGGACGCAAGUCUGACGGAGCAACGCCGCGCGCAGGAGGACGGCCUUCGGGUUGUAAACUGCUUUUCUGAGAGACGAGCAAGGACGGUAUCUCAGGAAGAAGCCCCGGCUAACUACGUGCCAGCAGCCGCGGUAAUACGUAGGGGGCGAGCGUUGUCCGGAGUUACUGGGCGUAAAGGGCUUGUAGGCGGUGAUGCGCGUCAACCGGGCCAGCUGGCAGCUUAUCUGCCGGAG
rnacentral:rRNA from 1 species